AUUCAGUGGUAAAGGAGAACGAGAAGAGAGUUAGAGCAGACGCGAGUUGAUGGAGCCUAGAGGGGAUUCUACACUAAAUUUGGCUGACAAGAGCUUGAGAGGUUCACAGUACAGGCUUUUGCAUAUAAUCUUUUUGAAUUACGCCGCAAACGCUUCUUCCGUGUCAAACUCGUUCUUAUACUUCCAAUCCAGCACCAUCACGCAACUGAUCCAAAAGGUUUUUGCCGCUUGACGUGGCAUGAAACCCCGUUCCCGUACAGAAAAAACCUGCAGUUCACCUCACCGGUGACGUCGACUGAAUAUUCGUGCUACUCAGUUGGCUCGUGACGUGGAUUGUCUGAAAACGGAGGUAGCAGAACAUGAUGAUAUUGGUAGAAGGACCCCACGUGAUGGGUCCUUUGCAUUUAUUUAUGGCUUGAUGGAGCCCAUGUGAUGGUCCUUGGCUCUCUGUCCUGUUCUUUUACUAUUUUCGUACUUCUCGGUUGCUUGUUUAUCAGCUGCUAAUCUUCUAGCUAAUUUUAUUAGCAAAA